rnacentral:rRNA from 1 species
GACGAACGCUGGCGGCGUGCUUAACACAUGCAAGUCGAACGAUGAUCAGGAGCUUGCUCCUGUGAUUAGUGGCGAACGGGUGAGUAACACGUGAGUAACCUGCCCCUGACUCUGGGAUAAGCGUUGGAAACGACGUCUAAUACUGGAUAUGAUCACUGGCCGCAUGGUCUGGUGGUGGAAAGAUUUUUUGGUUGGGGAUGGACUCGCGGCCUAUCAGCUUGUUGGUGAGGUAAUGGCUCACCAAGGCGACGACGGGUAGCCGGCCUGAGAGGGUGACCGGCCACACUGGGACUGAGACACGGCCCAGACUCCUACGGGAGGCAGCAGUGGGGAAUAUUGCACAAUGGGCGAAAGCCUGAUGCAGCAACGCCGCGUGAGGGAUGACGGCCUUCGGGUUGUAAACCUCUUUUAGUAGGGAAGAAGCGAAAGUGACGGUAUCUGCAGAAAAAGCACCGGCUAACUACGUG